AACCGACCGUUCGAACCAACGCCUCGGCAACAAGCAGGAAAAGAAUAUAAGGAGGGAACAGUGUGUGACUGGUGGCGGAUCAUUUUACCAAAUACCCAGAAAUCAGAUCAGCGUACGACGUGGUGAAGGGAGACGGACGGGGGCAGUUGGGUGGGCUCCACCAUUCAAUGCACUGACUCUAACGAUAUACGAAUCUCCAUUUCCCCAAUUCUCUCUUCUCUGGCGGGGCCAAGAAUUGACCAUCCUUCCUGGUAGGUUUUCGCAUGGAGGGCUGGAGGGGGCUGAUGUGAAAAUCCCUUCGACUUGAGGUAAACUCUCCAUCCUGCUUCGAAUCAUCGCUACUUCUUCGUCCGAUCUAUCUUCUUCUUUCACAUCAAUGGUCGAUGUUUUCAGGAAUCUUGUCGGGAGGGGAUGUCCCUUUUGCUAACGAUACCUUCUCCAACUGUGUCCUCCCUUCCAUUCUAAUCUUCUUUGGGUAUCAUAUCGUGGAGGAGUUCAAUGAUUCUAAAGAAAAGUUCCUUUUGUCUCUCUGCGACUGUGUAUCUAAUUACAUCGCCGUAUAUCUCUGCUUACUCCUUUUGGAUUAACGAUGCUAUCCGUUGUACUCUUUUUGUUUCUCCACAUCCUAUCUGGAAAUCAUACAGGUUGAGACCUAAAUGAUUUUGAAAACACGACCAUCUAUCCAGUGGUGCUUUGUGUUCUUCAGUUUUUUACAUGUCUUCUCAAAAUUCAUAGUUCAAUAUUUGUUGAUCACUCACUCGAGUCUUGAUCGAGUUGGUCUUGGAGACGACCAUUUGUUAUGGAUCAUAUUCUUCUUCUUGCAAUACGUUGGCCGAAUUCGUUAAGGCUGUUAAUGUAUCCUAUUUGCUGAGCCGACAAUAUGAAUGGUCGUCACUUGAUUAUGUUAGUAUGGGAAAUAUAAUUUGUGUAAGAUAGAUGAUAUUGUAUGUGUUAGGACCGGAGCGGCACUAAGAGAGGGGGUGGGGGGGGGUGAAUUAGUGCAACGGUAAAAUAUGAUAAACUUUCGACGAUUUAAACACUUUCGGAAACUUCGUACGAUAAAAGCAACGUUUCGUUUGAAACCGUUUCGAUUACGUUUUAACUUGAAGGUAGUAAGCUAUUGAAGGGAUUUGUAAUAAGGUAAUAGCAGGAAGUAAAUGCAAACCAGAGAAGACGGUAGUUUAUAGUGGUUCGGUCAAUCGUGACCUACAUCCACUCCUCCGAUUCCUUUUCCAUCGAGACCACCGACAUCCACUAAUGAUCUUCCUUUACUAGGCGAAGAUCGACCUUCUUCUUACACCCCUCUUACAACCUCUUACAAGUGGUUCACCCUUUUACAAAGAUUUCAAUGAAAAGAAAGGAGGUGAACACUCAAGCUAUUGAAAACAAGACUUUUCCUAAAGCUUUUCUCAACUUUUAGCUUCUCAAUAGGUUGUCUUCUCUGCUGAGAAAUGGGGGGUAUUUAUAAGCCUCAAGAGGAUUCAAAUUUGGGCUCCAAAUUUUAAAUUCUCUUGGGUUUCCGAGGCCGGCGGUGCCACCGCCUGUCAGUGUCUGACACUAACAGUGGACUGGCGGUGCCACCGCCCAGUCAAGCGGUGCCACCGCCCAGGUCUCUUCAGCUCACUGGUUGGGCUCCAAACUUGGCCCAAACCAGUCCGAACUUGGGCCAAAUUGGCCCCUACUUGGGUUAUAACUACGAAUUUAAAGAUAUUUUCUAAGCUAUUACAAAGUCCUUAAGUCAAGACUUCUACGAUAGUUUUACUUAGAUAUGUGUCUCUUCUACAAUAGUUGCAAGGUGCUAAGAUGCUGCAGCAUACGAGAAUAGUCCAAAACCAGACAUGGUUUGGCUGCAGAAUGGUGCAAUAGUGAGUGAGGCUCCUUCCUUCCUCCCAACAAGUGACGAGGGAGUGUUUUAGGCUCAACAUAUUAGUCAUGUUUUAUCAACACCCAUCGCCUCUAUCAUGGAAUCAUCAUCUAGACUCAACAUAUUAGUCAACCUGCCAUUUAGUGAAUCAAGCAAACAUGAGUAACAUAAGCAGAAUCUAAAAACUAACUCUUCUCGAAAGAUGUAUCAUUACCUUUAAAGAUUGUGAAGGAUAUCUUCAUCACCAUCCAUCACAAGAGAGAACUCAUCAAUCUCUUCUUCCUUUUUUUUUUUUUUUUUUUUCUCAGAUAAUUUUGUUAUAUAUAUAUUUAUAUAUAUAUAUAUAUAUAUAUAUAUAUAUAUAUAUAUAUAUAUAUAUANNNNNNNNNNNNNNNNNNNNAAAAAGACUUAGACUUUUGACCUUGGCCUACCAUGUUGAGAUCUACCCCUAUCAAAUUAUCCUCUUCGUCAAUCUCCAUUGUGAGUUGUUAAUGUUUCAUCAUCUAUAUUCUCUUAAUUACAAAAUCUUGAAUUAUUCCCACUUGACUUCUUUACAUACCUUUUUAAAUAAAUUUUGAAGAAUUCAUAUC
rnacentral:lncRNA from 1 species